UGGGGAAUUGUUCGCAAUGGGCGCAAGCCUGACGACGCAACGCCGCGUGGAGGACGAAGGCUUUCGGGUCGUAAACUCCUGUCGUGCGGGACGAAUGCUCAGACGCUGAAUAGGCGUGUGAGGUGACGGUACCGCGAAAGGAAGCCCCGGCUAACUCCGUGCCAGCAGCCGCGGUAAUACGGGGGGGGCAAGCGUUGUUCGGAAUUACUGGGCGUAAAGGGCUCGUAGGCGGCCGCUUAAGUCAGACGUGAAAUCCCUCAGCUUAACUGGGGCACUGCGUCUGAGACUGAAUGGCUUGAAUCCGGGAGAGGGAUGCGGAAUUCCAGGUGUAGCGGUGAAAUGCGUAGAUAUCUGGAGGAACACCGGUGGCGAAGGCGGCAUCCUGGACCGGUAUUGACGCUGAGGAGCGAAAGCCAGGGGAGCAAACGG
rnacentral:rRNA from 1 species